rnacentral:lncRNA from 1 species
CUCAAAUUUGCCACCAAAGGAAGGACCUCAACCACUUCUUCAUUUGCAGGUGCGGCAGCAUGUGGAGCAAUUUGGUAUUGUUGACAGAUCUGAUCCCAUUUGCUGGCAAGGCUGCAGCUCCCGCCGCAAACUCCUACUGAGGCGGAACUUUCGACUUAGAGCCACAUUUUUCUGCUGAGAUGGUCUCCAGAAGCCCUGCCAACAGGGGAAGACUUUUACCAUUUC